rnacentral:lncRNA from 1 species
GUUUUGGGUAAUGGCAGCGUGGAAUCCAGGGUGGAAUUCCGCUAGUGUGUGUUCUUGCCUUAUCUGUGAAAUUCCAGACAUUAUCAGCCUGGCCAUUGUUUGCUUAUGUCUGAGAUCCCAAACCUCCAAGAUGCUUGAGGAACCAGUCACUGCAGAUCUUUUUAGUUCUCGAAACCAGAUCACAGGUGUGGAAGAGGAGUCUCAAUAGUCAAGCUUGACCCAGGCCAACGCACUGUUGCAACAUCGUUCCAUCUGACUUCCUGAGACUCUGUUACGUACAUUUCCUAUGGAGAGUGACAAGGUAAAUCUUUGGAAUGCAGGAGAGAGAUCUGGAUUUUACUGAAACACCUAUCAGA